rnacentral:rRNA from 1 species
UACGUAUGGGGCAAGCGUUAUCCGGAUUUACUGGGUGUAAAGGGAGCGCAGGCGGCCUGGCAAGCCUGAUGUGAAAUACCGGGGCCCAACCCCGGGGCUGCAUUGGGAACUGCCAGGCUGGAGUGCCGGAGAGGCAGGCGGAAUUCCUAGUGUAGCGGUGAAAUGCGUAGAUAUUAGGAGGAACACCAGUGGCGAAGACGGCCUGCUGGACGGUGACUGACGCUGAGGCUCGAAAGCGUGGGGAGCAAACAGG